CACGGCGCACGGGUGAGUAACACGUGGGCAACCUGCCCUCCAAAGGGGGAUAACCCGCCGAAAGGCGGGCUAAUACCGCAUGACAUUCCGGUGGCUUCGGCCGCCGGAAUCAAACCGUUGGGGGAGGGGCCCGCGCCCGAUUAGCUAGUUGGCGAGGUAACGGCUCACCAAGGCAUUGAUCGGUAGCCGGUCUGAGAGGAUGGCCGGCCACACUGGAACUGAGACACGGUCCAGACUCCUACGGGAGGCAGCAGUGGGGAAUCUUGCGCAAUGGGCGAAAGCCUGACGCAGCGACGCCGCGUGGGGGAUGAAGCAUCUCGGUGUGUAAACCCCUUUCGACCCGGAAGAAUGUCCCGCAAGGGAUUGACGGUACGGGUAUAAGAAGCCCCGGCUAACUACGUGCCAGCAGCCGCGGUAAGACGUAGGGGGCCAGCGUUGCUCGGAAUUACUGGGCGUAAAGGGUUCGUAGGCGGUGCGGCAAGUCGGAAGUGAAAUCUCCAGGCUCAACUUGGAGGCUGCUCCCGAAACUGCCGUGCUAGAGUGCGGGAGAGGCCAGUGGAAUUGCAGGUGUAGCGGUGAAAUGCGUAGAUAUCUGCAGGAACACCCGUGGCGAAGGCGGCUGGCUGGACCGCAAC
rnacentral:rRNA from 1 species